rnacentral:lncRNA from 1 species
CCUUCUGUCUUGGCCUCCCGAAAUGCUGAGAUUUCAAGCGCUCCUCCACCAAGCCAAGGCCAGACUCCUGCAAUCAUAGGAUGGCAACACCACCUCUAAAGCACAGAACUUCAGGCUUUGCUUCGGAAGUGGCACCAUGGUCUCUUCAUUUUCCCUUUCUUCAAGGUCAGAAAACUGAAGCUGUUAGGAGUUUUAGUGUUAAGUUCCUUCCGAGGAUGUUAAUUAGGCUUCAAACUGUUUUGUUCUGAGAAAUAAAAACUAAACUCCAGUCAUUCAAGCUAA